rnacentral:rRNA from 1 species
AAGUAGAUAAGGGCGUGUGGGGAAUGCCUUGGCUCUCAGAGACGAUGAAGGACGCGAUAAGCUGCGAUAAGCUUCGGGGAUUAGCACAUAUGAAUUGAUCCGAAGAUUUCCGAAUGGGACAACCCAGCUAGUUGAAGACUAGUUAUCCAGCAAUGGAGGUUAACCCGGGGAACUGAAACAUCUAAGUACCCGGAGGAAGAGAAAACAAUAGUGAUUCUGUUAGUAGUGGCGAGCGAAAGCGGAAUAGCCCAAACCAGUUCUGUUACGGCAGGAUUGGGGUUGUAGGACUACAAUAUUCGUUAAUAAUAGAACAAGAACUGUUUGGGAAGACAGGCCAUAGAGGGUGAGAGCCCCG